UAACCAACGAGGCGGAAGUUUGUUUAGUCUGAAAUAAUCAGACACAGAUCUGAAGAGCAAUUGUUGAUAUCGUUGCUACGGUAACUGCAGCUGGCGUUUACUGACGAGUGGAAUGACUGAAGGUUGCAUAUACCUCUAUUGCUUACCAUUUUUAUGAAAACAUUGUUUUUAAUUGUUUAUUUCAUGGGCGAACUUGUUGAGAUUCGCAGACAGCAGAUGAGGAAUAAAUUGCUGAUCGGCGGCCCUUGUACGGAGGUUGUCACACACAGCCAACGAAACCACAUGGGCAACAUGGAAGAGCAAUUGCCAAAGCUUUUGGGCCUUUGCCUGGAUUUCAUCACACAGCAGCAAUAGGUCUCUAGGACUCUGGUUAGGUAGCCUGUAUACACUUUAUUU